CUCGAACCGUCCCCCGGCGUUUGUUUUCGCACAUCAGACCUGACGUUGAUUGGACAGCCUGGCUGGGCUGAUGGUGCAGUUUCAGCAAAUCCAUGCGCGUAAUAGACGGCGAUUACCGGAGCGUCUCGGAGCUGAGGGGAUUAUAGAUGGCUAACGCUAACACAGUGACACACUGACGGACCUGUUGGCGUGGUUUUGCAUCAACUGAAAGAAUGCUAAGUGAGAAAUAAACCGAACAAAGUGGGAGCGGGAUUGGGAGAAGCCUGACCAAAAUAGAGGAACGGAAGAAGUAAAGAUUCAGCAGCGGUCCGUAAAUGUUCCUUCACGUCUGAAAGGCGAUCUGAAAUCCAGACAGAGUCUCAGCGUCGGAUUGAACCUUCCGGAAGCAGAAGUCCUCAAGUCUGAAGAAGCAGAGGGCUUAUAACUAAUGGGUUUGUAGUGCAUGUAGAAGUAAUUUCCUACAAAACAGAGAAGACUAAUACAGUAAUGGAGUACUGCCAUUCAUGUACUACAGUAAAGCCCAAUAGAGCUCUUAUAGAAGGCUUAUGGAAAUCUGAUGGAGGUCUUACAGAAGUCUUAUGGAAGUCUUAUGGAAGUCUUAUGGACUUAUGGAGGUCUUAUGUAAGGCUUAUGGAGGUCUUAUGGCAGUCUUAUGGAGGUCUUAUGGAGGUCUUAUGGAGGUCUUAUGGAAGGCAUAUGGCAGUCUUAUGGAAGUCUUAUGGCGGUUUUAUGGAAGUCUUAUGGAGGUCUUAUGGCAGUCUUACGGAAGGCUUAUGGAAGUCUUAUGGAGGUGUUAUGGCAGUCUAUGGAGGUCUUAUGGCAGUCUUAUGGAGGUCUUAUGGAGGUCUUAUGCCAGUCUUAUGGAAGGCAUAUGGAGGUCUUAUGGAGGUCUUAUGGAGGUCUUAUGGCGGUUUUAUGGAGGUCUUUUGGAGGUCUUAUGGAAGUCUUAUGGCAGUCUUAUGGCAGUCUUAUGGAAGUCUUAUGGCAGUCUUAUGGAAGGCUUAUGGAGGUCUUAUGGCAGUCUUAUGGAAGGCAUAUGGAGGUCUUAUGGCAGUCUUAUGGCAGUCUUAUGGCAGUCUUAUGGAAGGCAUAUGGAGGUCUUAUGGCAGUCUUAUGGCAGUCUUAUGGCAGUCUUAUGGAAGGCUUAUGGAGGUCUUAUGGCAGUCUUAUGGCAGUCUUAUGGCAGUCUUAUGGAAGGCAUAUGGAGGUCUUCUGGAGGUCUUAUGGCAGUCUUAUGGCAGUCUUAUGGAGGUCUUUUGGCAGUCUUAUGGAGUAAUGAGUCUGAAUUUAAGAUAUUUCAUUCACAAAUAUCUUGCAGAAUUUUGUGGACAUUUCCCAACAUUAAAUGUACCUAUAAAUGUAUGAAACCCGUCGCUGAUUAUUUUCCCGCUAUAUCAGCACGACACUGUCGUGUUUUAUUCCUUACUUGGAAUACCAAUGUCUUCCUGCCUAUUCAUAAACCUGAAGCACGUGGUGCUAUUUAUGAACUACGAUAACUAUUUUAAGAUUUCUAUUUCAUUGGACAAAUGAAAUGUUUACGCAGUCAGUUUUCUCGAGUCUGGGUUCGGUUCCUGUCAGAACACUCCCAAAAAUUCCGACUCGGGCUUCACUGCCUGAGGUCGAAACGUGAAGGUUUUCUUCCCCCCUCAAUCAGAAGGUGGGAAUUGCGAUUAUUCCCGUAUGACGUGAACGCAGCAUUAGCAUAACUGAAAGCUGUGUGGUCCCGUGAGAACGCGGUGUCGCUUGGGAUGAGACGCGGUUGAAAGGGGCCCUGCUUUUUUUGGUCCGGGGUUAUUAAGGGACUCUGGGAUAGUCGCUUCAAUGAUUCCCCCUGCAGGGAGACUGAAAAGAAUUGAACCAAGCCGUUCGAUCGUAG
ensembl:lncRNA